rnacentral:tRNA from 1 species
GCCUCCUUAGCUCAGUUGGUAGAGCGGUUCACUCGUAAUGAUCAGGUCGCCGGUUCAAAUCCGGCAGGAGGCU